UUAGAUAUUGUGAUAAUUAAAUAAAAAAAUAGAUAUUGUGAUAAUAUAGAUCCGACUUUCUGUCCCGUAAUAAUAGACUCAGAAGACUAACAAGUUGAGUUGGGUGGGCCUAAUAAGUUAAGUGGGGUUGCGGUCCGCAAGAGACCUAAUGACAAGUGGUCCAGCAAUAGGCCUAACGUCCAGAUAGAUUGAGUUACGUUGAAAUCUGCGAGUGUUAUGAUUGAAUCCUUAAGUGUGAUGAGUGCGCUCUUUCUAUCUGUACGUAUUUUUGAAAUAAUUGGUUAGUACUUAUGAUCCACAAUUACCAUAAGAAUAUAUAAAUGAAUGAGUACUGUAUUUGUAUGACAUGUACAAGAUACAUUGAGGUUUACUUU
rnacentral:lncRNA from 1 species